rnacentral:tRNA from 1 species
GCGGUGGUAGCUCAGUCGGGUGAACGCCAGCUUCUCACGCCAGAGAUGCGGGUUCGAAUCCCGAACCUGACACG